AUAGGAAAAUAAGCCGUCAUCGCAACCAGUGUCCAUUCUGUUCACAGCCUCGGCCCCGUCCCCAUCAACCACAUCAAGGUCCGUUUCCUGGGGCCUCAGCGGCCGGAUCAUGCUUAUGGCGUUCCGGUUCGUGCCAAACAUCCGAUCGGAGCAUAGCUGUGGCUGGCUCAGGUGUCUCUUGGACUGUUGGUUCAGAUGUCCAGAACUCAUGGUUAACUUCCAACUCUUCGACCCCAGGGCAGCCCCCGCCCCCCUGCCCCCGAGGACCAGCUGGCCGGUCGCGCCCUCUCCUGGCACCACCGAGAAGCGACGCGCCUGGCUGGCUAGAGGGGCCAGCCAGCCCCAACCAGCGGACAUCCCAGCCGACAUCCCAUGCUUCCUAUCCAUCUGGCCUGCUACAGGGUCUCAACCUCAGGAGCAUGGCUUGAGCCAGCGACGCUUCGUUCUUAAAGGGUUCGUUGACCAGGACCAUUUCCU
rnacentral:lncRNA from 1 species